CCAAUAAUAUUCAUUGAAAUCAAGAAAACAAGAAAAAAAAAUGGGUGAAACUAAUGACGGGAUGCUCUCCCCUUUCCAAUCCUUGCCUGAAGGUUGCAUAUCACACAUCCUCUUUUACACAUCUCUUCAAGAUGCGUGCGGUGCAUCACUCAUUUCUAAGGACUUCAACUCUGCUUCUAAGUCUGAUACUGUUUGGGGAAAAUUUCUUCCUCCAGAUCUCAAAGAGAUCAUCUCAAAUUUAGUUCCCUGGUUGAGCUCUAAAACGAAGAAAGAGCUCUACCGUUUGCUUUGUCACUUUUCAAACCCGAUCGACAAGGGAAUCCUGAUCAACAAGGGAAACCGGCGCUUCUGGCUAACUAAGUGCUCGAAAAAAUGUUAUAUGCUGAGCGCGUGGGAGCUCUCCAUUCAUAAGAAAGAAGAUCCUGAGUGCUGGAAGUGGUAUGAGUUAUCUGGAUCAAGGUUUUCUGAGGUGGCUGAGCUGCAGCGAGUAGAUAUCCUUGAUAUACGAGUGAAAAUGCCAGCUCGAUCACUGUCACCGAAGACUAAUUAUGCGGCUUACCUUGUGUUCAAAACUAAAGAGUAUUCCUAUGGACUUGAAACUGUUGCCAAGGCUUCUGUUAGCUUGGCUGCUACUGCUGGCACUAGUGGUCUCUCUGAGCCUAUGGAAGGCGACUCUGUCUACCUAAAAAUACCUACAGACGUGCAUUAUCUAACACCUACAGAUGAAGAUGAUCCAGGAUAUAGAUGGCGGGGGCCUGAUCUGCAGCGACGAUUUGUUCUGGUGCCUCGGCCUGAGCAUGAAAUUGAUGGCCGGGUUCCACGUGAGAGAAACGAUGGAUGGCAGGAGAUUAUGCUGGGAGAAUUUUUUAACGAUGAAGGUGUUGGCGAUGUCGAGAUAAAAAUUGCAGAAAUUCUCGAUUGGAAAAAAGGCCUCAUUCUCGAGGGAAUUGAGCUUCGACCCAAGGAAGAAGCGUGAUACUCUGAGUCAGUACUAAAACUUUGCGACUAAUGAUGCUACUUGGCAAGGAUCGUUCUGUUAAGUCGUGAGGUGUGUUAUAUUAAAAUAAUGGCAGUUGAUUGGGAACAGCCGGUUUGUUUUGCUACAUUUCCAACUGAAUUGGGAGAAAGAAUUUUGCUCUUGAUGGGAAGAAACAACAGGAGGAGAACAGCCCCCAACUUUCAAAUCGAGGAUAUUAAAUGAGGGGAGAGAGAGAGACGGUCAGGAACCUUGUUCACCCGAAGAGGGUAUGUUUGAAAUAUGAUAGUCACGUUAGGAAAAAUAUGCACACGAGAUAUUUUGUACCUUUGUGCCCGAUUUAACGUGGGGCCAUAAAGGAAAAAAUGAAAAAAAAAAA